GGGUUAGCAAUAGUCCCAAAAGUGGCGAACGGGUGAGUAACACGUAGGUAACCUGCCGCGCAGAGGGGGAUAACGACUGGAAACGGUCGCUAAUACCGCAUGGUACUGUGAAGAGGGGACUCUUGACAGUUAAAACCUUGGUGCUGCGCGAGGGGCCUGCGUCCGAUUAGUUAGUUGGUGAGGUAACGGCUCACCAAGACGAUGAUCGGUAGCUGGUCUGAGAGGAUGAUCAGUCACACGGGAACUGAGACACGGUCCCGACUCCUACGGGGGGCAGCAGUGAGGAAUAUUGCACAAUGGACGCAAGUCUGAUGCAGCAACGCCGCGUGGAGGAUGAAGGUCUUUGGA
rnacentral:rRNA from 1 species